UACGUAGGGGGCUAGCGUUGUCCGGAAUCAUUGGGCGUAAAGCGCGCGUAGGCGGCCCGGUAAGUCCGUUGUGAAAGUCAAAGGCUCAACCUUUGAAAGCCGAUGGAUACUGCCGGGCUGGAGUCCGGAAGAGGCGAGUGGAAUUCCUGGUGUAGCGGUGGGAAUGCGCAGAUAUCAGGAGGAACACCAAUAGCGAAGGCAGCUCGCUGGGACGGUACUGACGCUGAGGCGCGAAAGCGUGGGGAGCGAACAGG
rnacentral:rRNA from 1 species